rnacentral:lncRNA from 1 species
AUGAUUGGAGUCUCAGCCUUUGAAUAACAAAGAUUUCUCUUCCUCGAUUUCUUUCCCAUAAACCACAGAAACAGGCCGACAGCCAAAGGACAAGCAGUUUCGGUGGUUCUUCUGGACACAGGGCUUCAUGACAUCAUUUUGCUUUGUUUUUUUAUGUUUUGAGGAAGACCUACCAAGAGAACAAAGUUAGGUGGUUCUGACAAUUCGGCUAAAUUCCAGCAGCAGCAGCCCAAUGGCAGAACGACCUUGAAGAAUAUCCAAGAAGUGAAGGUUAUGUUGCUAUCUUGGAGAAGGGGAAGGAGCAAAAUUUUAGCCACAGCCAACAGGAGACCUCAAGUUAAAAACAACAGCAGCAACAA